GAAUAAGCUCGUUUUUGCUAUGGUGAUUAGAGGAAAAAGGCAUUAGCCUUGCCGAAGGAUGAGUCUGCGUCUGAUUAGCUAGUUGGUGUGGUAAUGGCGCACCAAGGCGACGAUCAGUAGCCGGCCUGAGAGGGUGACCGGCCACAUUGGGACUGAGACACGGCCCAGACUCCUACGGGAGGCGAGCAGCUAAGAAUCUUCCGCAAUGGGCGCAAGCCUGACGGAGCGACGCCGCGUGGGUGGAAGAAUGCCGAGAGGUUGUAAAACCUUUACUUACAGAAGAAUAAUAAUCGGAGGUAAUGCCGGUUAGAUGACGUUAUGUAAGGAAUAAGCACCGGCCAAUUACGUG
rnacentral:rRNA from 1 species